rnacentral:tRNA from 1 species
GGUCUGUUAGCUCAGUUGGUAGAGCACAUCGUUCACAUCGAUGGGGUCACAGGUUCGAGCCCUGUACAGACC